UACGUAGGGUGCAAGCGUUGUCCGGAAUUAUUGGGCGUAAAGAGUACGUAGGCGGUCUGUCGCGUCGGCUGUGAAAACCUGGGGCUUAACUCCGGGCCUGCAGCCGAUACGGGCAGACUAGAGUUCGGCAGGGGAGACUGGAAUUCCUGGUGUAGCGGUGAAAUGCGCAGAUAUCAGGAGGAACACCGGUGGCGAAGGCGGGUCUCUGGGCCGAAACUGACGCUGAGGAGCGAAAGCGUGGGGAGCAAACAGG
rnacentral:rRNA from 1 species